GACGAACGCUGGCGGCGUGCUUAACACAUGCAAGUCGAGCGGUAAGGCCCUUUCGGGGGUACACGAGCGGCGAACGGGUGAGUAACACGUGGGUGACCUGCCCUUAGCUCUGGGAUAAGCCUGGGAAACUGGGUCUAAUACCGGAUAUGACUCCAUAACGCAUGUUGUGGGGUGGAAAGCCUUGUGCGGCUAGGGAUGGGCCCGCGGCCUAUCAGCUUGUUGGUGGGGUGAUGGCCACCAAGGCGACGACGGUAGCGGCCUGAGAGGCGACCGGCCACACUGGGACUGAGACACGGCCCAGACUCCUACGGGAGGCAGCAGUGGGGAAUCUUGCGCAAUGGGCGAAAGCCUGACGCAGCGACGCCGCGUGGGGAUGACGGCCU
rnacentral:rRNA from 1 species